rnacentral:rRNA from 1 species
UACGUAGGGUGCAAGCGUUAAUCGGAAUUACUGGGCGUAAAGCGUGCGCAGGCGGUUGUGCAAGACAGAUGUGAAAUCCCCGGGCUUAACCUGGGAAUUGCAUUUGUGACUGCACGGCUAGAGUGUGUCAGAGGGGGGUAGAAUUCCACGUGUAGCAGUGAAGAUGCGUAGAUAUGUGGAGGAAUACCGAUGGCGAAGGCAGCCCCCUGGGAUAACACUGACGCUCAUGCACGAAAGCGUGGGGAGCAAACAGG